GAUGAACGCUGGCGGCGUGCCUAAUACAUGCAAGUCGAGCGAACGGACGAGAAGCUUGCUUCUCUGAUGUUAGCGGCGGACGGGUGAGUAACACGUGGAUAACCUACCUAUAAGACUGGGAUAACUUCGGGAAACCGUAGCUAAUACCGGAUAAUAUUUUGAACCGCAUGGUUCAAAAGUGAAAGACGGUCUUGCUGUCACUUAUAGAUGGAUCCGCGCUGCAUUAGCUAGUUGGUAAGGUAACGGCUUACCAAGGCAACGAUGCAUAUCCGACCUGAGAGGGUGAUCGGCCAAACUGGAACUGAGACACGGUCCAGACGCCUACGGGAGGCAGCAGUAGGGAAUAUUCCGCAAUGGGCGAAAGCAUGACGGAGCAACGCCGCGUGAGUGAUGAAGGUCUUCGGAUCGUAAAACUCUGUUAUUAGGGAAGAACAUAUGUGUAAGUAACUGUGCACAUCUUGACGGUACCUAAUCAGAAAGCCACGGCUAACUACGUG
rnacentral:rRNA from 1 species